rnacentral:rRNA from 1 species
UACAGAGGUCCCAAGCGUUGUUCGGAUUCACUGGGCGUAAAGGGUGCGUAGGUGGUGAGGUAAGUCGGAUGUGAAAGCUCGGAGCUCAACUCCGAAAUGGCAUUGGAAACUACCUUGCUCGAGGGUUGGAGGGGGGACUGGAAUUCCUGGUGUAGCGGUGAAAUGCGCAGAUAUCAGGAGGAACACCGAUGGCGAAGGCAGGUCUCUGGGCAUUAACUGACGCUGAGGAGCGAAAGCAUGGGGAGCGAACAGG